CAUCCGGGGUAUUGAUGAAGCUUGCGAGGAGAAAGACAGAUGGACGCCAUUACAUUUUUCAAUAUCGCGGGGAAAGAACACACAAUGUUCCUAAAAGAAGAGCAUUGAACUGCAGCCUCCUCCAUGCACUUUUGAGUUUGUCAUGGAAGAAGGUCAGAUUUCUUUUUUUCAAAGGAUCAACGGAUUUGAAGUUAUUUGAGGAAUCUGACACAGCUAUUGACAACGUGUUUCCCUGGAGUCCCACCCAGCCCGCUGAAGCAGCCUUCCCAGCCCAGCCUUCCUAGCCCAGGCUUCCCUUCCCAGGCUCAUCAGUCCGAUGGUGCAGAGAUGGCUAAAAGGCCAAAGGAGGAUUCCGGUUGUUCUGGAGAACAGUGCAGGAGGACAGGAAAUAAUGGAGGAGGAGUAUAGGAGAUCCAGCACCUGCACUCAUGGCACGUUUUGAAGAGGCCGUGAAGGACACGAAGGACACACAGGAUCGCCAGCCAUACCUCCUUGCACUUCCAGGGUCCCAUGUGAAGCCCAUCAAUUGGCGAUGGAUUGAUACUGGCACACAGUAGGGCCAGUUACGCUGGUGGGCCUGCCCUGGGCUGGGCUGGACCUAAAGGUACUAACGGUGUUUUCACCGACAGGUGGUUAGAUGCGAAAGGGGGCUGGUGGCCCAGGUUUCGGGGCGUAGGGCCAGUAUUCCUGGCCCUUCAAAGUCUAUGGGCCAUCAAGGGCCGGAGGGCCAGAGGCGGGGUUUACAUCAUGGUGGGAUCUUAUUUGUCCUAGCGAAAUGCGAAAACAAUGCGGCGACACAGCUUUUUGAUCUGCAGAAACGAAUUAGUUAAACUUCAAUUGGCUUACAUUUUUUCUGUGGCCCAAUAGCCGACAUCGUUUUAUUUGUUAUCGUUUCAUAUUUUCCCCUAUUGCUGCUGGUUGUUCAGUGAGCCUCCCUUAUGUUUCUCCCUGGUGUCCGCAAGUCGGGAAUAAUCUUAUCCCUGAUUUAUUUGAAAUUCUAGUAAGAGCGUGCAUGCACCUCGUGCAUCAUAGAAUGCUUCGAUUAGAUUACGCAGGUAUACAAGAGAGAGAAGGAGUUAUGUGUUUUGCAUUACAAAAUGCAUAUGGGCCGGAUGAACGUAAUUAAUAUCUUGUACCUGUCUUUUGUUUGAUUGGUGUAAAAAAUAUGGAUAUGAGAUAUUGAUUGAUUGUACUUGUCUUUUGUUUUAUUUGAGAAAAAUAUUGAUAUGAAAUGUUCAUUGAUUGUACCCAUCUUGUUCAAUUUGAGAAUAAAAUAUUGACAUGAGAUAUUUAUUGAUAUAAAGAAAAAUAAAAACAAAUAAAAUGUGAAAUGGU